rnacentral:miRNA from 5 species
AAGUGCUUCCUUUUAGAGGGUU